ACAAUCGAGUUGAUCAGACGUACCACAUGUGCUUCGAGCAAAACUACUUCGGUGCAAAGUCCGAGAGAGUGAAAAGCGGUAACCCGCUAAAACCGAAGGCCGUAAGCAAGUCCGUGUAUCAAUUUUCGGGCGGAAUUCAGCAGCGGAAAACGCAUCCGACCCUCAUCGUUGCAGACGGGCAAAACCGUCGGACGAACUUUUCACCAGCGAGGUGUGAUUUCUCGAACAAGAUUCAUCACUCGAUCUGCGCGACGGGUGCCCAAGACGACGAAGCGGGUCAUCAUUGUCGUGCAGCAGGAUCAAACGCAUUGGUUGGCAAACGCGAUUGUCACGUGAGAUUCCGCAAUCCUAUAAAACUCCGAUCAAAGCAGGUUUUCACGGUGGAAGGAAGCCAGGGAUCAAAAACCAAGCAAGGUGCAUACCAGUAGCGCACGUGAGCGUGCCCGCACAACAUAACCUCUCACAGCAACAAGAAAAGCCCUCACCAGAGGGCCUCAGUUUUGGAGUGGAUUCUUCAGUUCGGCGCAGUUCGUCUCAGCCUCGGAGCAGGUUUCUCCGUCUCGGAGCGGACGUCUCAAAUUCCCGUGCAGAUCUGUCGUACACGGAGUAGAGCUACGACGGCGAAACGAGGCAACUUGGUUCCGGAGCAGACCCUCCACGGUGAGACCAAGCAACUCGGUUCCGGAUUGGCUUUAGUUAGCACGUCGCACACGCGGGGAAAUGGAGAGCAGGGGAUGCUGCACUCUUCGACCAGAUACCAUCUGCAAGAAGAAGCAUGCGUCGCACCAGUCGACGUGUCAUAUUGGCUGCAUGAUGCCGAUCGGAAGUUUGAUCUCACGAACGGAGUUGAGCGUGUGCGGAGCACGCGAAGUGUCAACCAUCGAAGGGAUACGCGCAGUGCCACACGCAGUAAGAAAAGGGCCGUGAGUAGGUAGCAAUUAAGAGUGACAGUGUGAAAUUUAGUCCCUAAGCAUGACAGGUCA